CGGGAGUACACGUCGACAGCCGCCCGCAGGACACGCGGCAGACGCGCCACGGCCGCCGCCAGGGCCAACAAUAAGCUCUGAGCCGGGAACCUGGGACCUGUGCCGUGACAGGGUUGGCUGGCGGCCCAGAGAGAAGAGCCGUGUGGAGCCGAAGAGGUGGGUGGACCGCACGGCCCUGGAGCAGAGAUACCGGC